rnacentral:lncRNA from 1 species
GCCGAGGUGGUAGCAGUGAGGUAGAGCGUCCGCGAGUGGUACCAAUGGAGUCGCGGAGUUGAGGCGGAGCCGAUGCGCGCGCGCGCGGAGGCCGAGGGCCUCACUAUCGGUCGCCGGAGUUGCGGCCGAGCCGCCGUGCGUGAGAGAGAGAGAUCUGACGGGUGGGGCUACCCUGUCAGUGGCUGAGAGAGAGAGAGAGCGCGCGGGCGUGCGCGGCGCGGACGCGGGCCGGAAGCAGUGGGCCGGUCUGCGGCCCAGUUUCCAAGCAGCCCACUGCGCAGUAGUCUUUUUCUUUUUCUUUUUAUGCAGUUUUUGUUUUAUAUUUGAAUUUGUGUAGUAAAUUUUGUGCUAAUCCAAAAAUUGUGAAAAUUUUUGUAUAGCUUACAUAAAAUGGAUAGAGCCUAAGAAAAAUGUUAGGUUUGAUUUUCUGGUAAUUUUCAUGUAUACAUAAAUUGCCUUUGUUUAUUAAUGAAUAAACCUUCCAUGAUUUUUAAUAGUUCAUAGGUAUAUCCAAAAAUCAUGAAAUUUAAUAUGUGAGCUUGUGUUAAUGUUAUUUAGCUCCAUGAUUAAUUUCAGCUCUGUUUGAUCAAGUAUGCUCUGUUUCUUGAUAAAGCUAUUUAAAAUGCUUAUAAAAGAAAUAGAAAUAAUUAAUCCCUUUAGGAGUUGGGUGAUAUUUUGGAUUAUUUGACAACCAUGGUUACUUAGCAUGAUAUGCUCCCUGGUUAUGGUUUAUUUUCAUGUAAAUAAUCUUUAUGGUAUAAUAGAUUCACAAUUAUUGCUUAAUAAAAAUAAUAAAGUUGGUUUAGUAGUGAUUUAUGCUUUGAUAGCUAGCUUUGUUUGUUUCUUUACCAUGAAGGUAAAGUGUACUCGAGAUAAUCAUAUUUUGUUAUAUCAUCCAAGAACAUGUAACUUGUCUUUAUCAUACCUUGAGUAUAUCAUAAUCAUGCAUAUGCACUUUUACGUAUAGAGUACGCUCCGGAAGAAUCUGAUCACCAGUGGGUUUCUUCCGAGUUUGUGGAUCCUUCGAGAGUAGUUGAGUUUCCGAACGUCCCCUCCGAUCAAGGCAAGCCCCGGACAUUAAACCCUACCCUUGUAUUUUCAUAAAGUUAUUUAUAUCACUUGAGUUAAUAUGAUGCAUUAGGUGAAUAGGAGUUGAGUGAAUCCUAUUUGCUGCAUUAUCUACCUUGAUGAUUUCCAUAUUAACCUUGGUACUUGCUUUAUGAAAAUGCUUAGUAUGCUUAGCCCUGCUUAUUAGAUAAGUUUUCAAAUGAAAGAGUUUGAAGGGUUGUUGUGGAAUACUUUUAUAGUUAAUGAUGUUCAAUUUGAGACCGGUCGGUGGACUUGCUUUAAGAAUGGAGUCUUAAAGUAGUGUCUCCAACUGAGUCGAUUAAGGACCGUACCGUUGAUUGGCCUGUUGUGAUUGAGAACUUUGAGUACAGCCCACAUGCGGUGCAACCAAAGAUGAGUUCUUUAUACAGUCACCUUGGGGUCGACUAUGCACUAAGGAAAUGGUACAUCAGGUGCCAAUAGACUUGGGUGGAUAUAUAUUUCCAACAUCCAUGAUAGUGUUAAAAGAUCCAAGUAUAGAUGUGAUCUUGGGUAUGAACUGGAUGAACCAGAGAGGUGCAGUUAUAGACACCUUAAAUAGAACUAUCAGGGUCAACUUACCUAAUAGCAAGUCUCAACUUCUUAUCCAUCUUCCUACUCUUAAGAGAGCAGUUGAGCAAGUGUGUGCUACCUCUGUUAAGGAAAUCAAGGAUAUUCCAGUGGUCUGUGAGUUUCCUGAUGUGUUUCCAGAAGAUUUACCUGGUUUGCCACCAGAUCGUGAUGUGGAGUUUGAAAUAGAGCUCAAGCCAGGGACAGCACCAAUAUCUAGAAGAGCUUAUAGAAUGCCACCAAAAGAAUUAGCAGAAUUGAAAACGCAGUUGCAAGAAUUGAUGGAUAAAGGUUUCAUUCGACCUAGUUCAUCACCAUGGGGUUGUCCGGCAAUCUUUGUGAAGAAAAAGGACCAUACCUUGAGGUUAUGUGUGGACUAUCGUCCUUUGAAUGAGGUAACAAUCAAGAAUAAGUAUCCUUUGCCCCGUAUUGAUCUUCUCUUUGAUCAACUAACCGGUGCUAAGGUAUUUUCAAAGAUAGACUUGAGAUCUGGGUAUCAUCAAAUUAAGAUCAAGCCAAAAGAUGUUCCGAAAACAGCAUUCACUACCCGAUAUGGUCUGUAUGAAUAUCUGGUCAUGUCUUUCGGUCUGACAAAUGCCCCAGCACAUUUUAUGUAUCUGAUGAAUUCAGUGUUUAUGCCAGAGUUAGAUAAAUUCGUGGUGGUAUUCAUUGAUGACAUUCUCAUCUAUUCCAAAACUAAAGAAGAACAUGAAGAGCAUCUCAGGAUAGUGUUGACUCGCCUGAGAGAACAUCAAUUAUAUGCUAAAUUUAGCAAGUGUGAAUUCUGGAUAGAUGAAGUUCAAUUUUUGGGUCAUGUCUUGUCAGCUGAAGGUGUUGCAGUAGAUCCAAGCAAAGUUCAAGAAGUUCUUGACUGGAAGUCACCAACUUCAGUACAUCAAGUUCGGAGUUUCUUAGGAUUAGCAGGGUAUUAUCGCAGGUUUAUCCCUGACUUCUCCAAGAUUUCUAAACCAAUGACAACACUGCUAAAGAAUGAUACCAAGUUUGUGUGGUCAUCCGAGUGUGAAGAAGCUUUUCGGACCUUGAAAAAGUUGUUGACCACUGCACCAGUGCUAGCUCAACCUGAUAUUGAAAAAUCUUUUGAUGUGUAUUGUGAUGCUUCAGGCAAAGGCAUUGGGUGUGUACUAAUGCAAGAAGGCAGAGUCAUUGCAUAUGCUUCACGACAACUUAAGCGUCAUGAAGAGCAUUAUCCAACCCAUGAUCUAGAGUUGGCAGCUGUAGUCCAUGCUCUGAAGAUCUGGCGACAUUAUCUAUUGGGCAAUAUUUGUCACAUAUAUACUGAUCAUAAGAGUUUGAAAUACAUCUUUACUCAGUCCGAGUUGAAUAUGCGUCAGAGAAGAUGGUUAGAACUGAUAAAAGAUUAUGAUAUUGAGGUACAUUAUCACCCAGGCAAAGCCAAUGUGGUGGCAGAUGCACUCAGUCGAAAGAGCCAUUGCAAUUGUCUGGAAGUUAAACCGAUAAACCUUACCUUAUGUUAUGAAUUUGAGAAGUUAAGUCUUGAAAUGAUUCCACAAGGAAGUCUUGCAAAUAUGACAGUUCAGUCAUCUAUCAAAGAUCAGAUUAUUUCCGCUCAGAAAGAAAAUAAGGGUAUGAGCUUUUUGAAAGAAAAGAUCCAGUCUGAGCAGAUUUCCAAGUUCAGAAUAGAUGAAGCUGGAGUAGUUUGGUUCAAGGAUCGGUUAGUAGUCCCAAAAGUUCCUGAACUCAAAAAACAAAUUCUUGAUGAAGCUCAUGCAACAAAACUUUCAAUCCAUCCAGGUAGUAAUAAGAUGUAUCAUGAUCUAAAACAAAGAUUCUGGUGGACUAAGAUGAAGCUUGAAAUUGCUAGUUAUGUGGCUAGAUGUGAUACUUGUCAAAAGGUGAAAGCAGUUCAUCUUAGGUCUGCUGGAGAACUGCAACCAUUGCCAAUUCCAUCUUGGAAAUGGGAUGACAUUAGUAUGGACUUCAUAGUGGGUCUACCCAGAACCUCGAGAGGGUUUGAUUCCAUAUGGGUCAUUGUUGAUCGUCUGACCAAAUCGGCUCAUUUCAUUCCAGUAAGAAAGGAUUAUCGAGCUUCUGACUAUGCUAAGAUAUACUUUAACAGAAUUGUGAGUCUACAUGGUGUUCCAAAGACUAUUAUAUCUGAUAGAGGGACACAAUUUGUAAAUGCUUUCUGGAAGCAUCUGCAUAAGUCCUUGGGUACCAAACUUCUGCAUAGUACAGCUUAUCAUCCACAGACUGGGGGCCAGACUGAAAGAGUCAACCAAAUCUUAGAAGAUAUGUUAAGAUCUUGUGUGCUCAGUUAUUCAGAGAAGUGGCACGAAUGUUUGCCUUUAGCAGAAUUCUCUUAUAAUAAUAGUUAUCAAGAGAGCAUUAAGAUGGCACCAUUCGAAGCUCUGUAUGGCAGAAGGUGUAGGACACCUUUGAAUUGGUCAGAACCUGGAGAACAUAGUCUCUUCGGGGUUGACUUAGUCAAAGAAACCGAAGAAAAAGUCAGGCUCAUUCGAGAGAACAUGAAGGUAGCACAGUCCAGGCAAAAGAGUUAUGCCGAUAAGAGACAUCGAUCUCUUAGCUUUGAGGUUGGUGAUUAUGUAUACCUCAAAGUGUCACCUAUGAAAGGAGUCACUCGUUUUGGAGUAAAAGGAAAAUUGGCACCUCGAUAUAUAGGUCCAUAUCAAAUCCUUGAAAGAUGUGGAAAGGUGGCAUAUCGUAUAGAUUUACCACCACAGUUGUUAUCAGUACACAAUGUGUUCCAUGUCUCUCAGUUGAAGAAAUGUCUUAGAGUGCCUGAUCAUAUCAUUCAUGUUGAAGAAAUUGAAUUAAAGCCUGAUCUAACAUAUUCAGAGUAUCCCAUCAAGAUUCUGGAUCAAAAAGAUCGAGUCACUCGUAGAAGAACUAUCAAAUACUACAAAGUGCAAUGGAAUCAACAUACCGAAGAUGAAGCUACGUGGGAAUCCGAAGAGUUUCUCUUAGAACGUUUUCCUGAGUUCUUUUCUUCUGUCUUAUCCUUGUAGUCUAUAGUAUAAUGAUCUACCCCUGUUUUUGUAAAGGUUGGUUUUGAAAGUGCUUAACAAACUUCUUUUUCCAUUAGUUAGUCUUCAAGUUAAAUCUCGGGACGAGAUUUCUUUAAGGGGGAAAGAGCUGUAACACUCUCGUGUUAAGCGAACUAAAAAUGGGACAUGUCAUCAUGAGCAUUGCAUCAAAAAUAUGUUAAGCACACACUAAUGCAUUAACCUAAAAUAAGUUUAUUUUGGAUGAAUGUGUUUAGGAAUUUAAGUGUGUUUAUUUUAUGUAUGGGUGCUUGUUUUGGAGUUUAAAAUCGUUGGGUGAAAGUUUUCCGAGAAGCUUAAAGGGGGGAAACCCUAAUUUCAAAAACUCUAGAUUUGCCCCUUUUGUGUAAUUUAAAAACUAAGCAAAAUUUGAAGUUGAGUUCAAAAGCAAAGUUGUAGAUCUUGUCAAGAUAUACAACUUUGGUGUUUUGAGUUUUUGAAGUUUCAGUACAAAAUUCAAAGUAAUUUUGAAAAUACAGAUUUCCGAAAAGUGUCCCCUUUUUCUAAAUUGAAUCUCCAAUUCAAAAUCUGUUUGGAAUUGUGAAAAUUGGUCAACAUGAAAGUUGUAGGGUUUGAAAAGUUGAACAACUUUUAUGUUGGAAGUUUUUCAAGUUGUUAUGUAAAAUCAAAAGUAAUUUUAGAAAUUCUGUUUUGCCCUAAUUCAAAAAUUUGGGAUUAAGCUUGAAUUUCAAACUGUUUGGCUCAAAUUCAUCCCUCUCCAUUUCAAAUCUGUCUUUGGUCACUAAAGAUGUUUUGUAGCAUUCAAAAUUCUGAGCAUUUGAUAUUUUGACAUAUUUUUGUCUUCUAUUCAAAAAUUCAAAGUAAUUUCAUAAUUUCAGAAAGGGUAUUUUGGGGACAAGGGGGAUAAGCUCGACCCUGUUUAUGGCGGUGUGCCGCCGAGCGUCGAUCGGCGUUUGCCGACUCGUGAACUGCCGAUUCAUCUCGUCCAAGCACGUGCUCGCGUCCGUGGCAAAGUGGAGCAGCUGCUGGCGAAGUGGAGCGCGACGUGCCAUUCUCUCCCGCGAGCACCGACCUCCUUUCCGCCACCGGAGCACCGAGGAGCAGUACCCCGUCCUCAUCCAAAUUGGCCGUGCUCGAUCCUCCUCGUAUCAAAUUGAGCCGUCCAUGAUGUUCGCCAUCUCUUUGCGAAUCCAGAACACCACCAAGCUCGUCCCAUAACCCUCUCAAUCGCAGAAACACCUCCAUUCUUUUCCAUCUCCGGCCAGAACUGCCGCCGUGGUGCUCUUACCGUGACCACGGUGUUCUCGUCGGUAUCACGUUUCCCUGGCAGCUGUUUCGAGUUCCUCUUGUGUUCUAGUAGCUCAUGCUCUCUCUCUUUUGCUUUGGGCACGAACAGAAUCGCCGGGACGAGCUCGCCGGAGCCGGAGCGCCCGCCCGAUCGCACUGUCUCCGUCGCCAACAACUUCAGCUACUUCUCCCACCGUGGUGACGUGAGCAUCGUGUUCCCUACACCACCUUGAACCUCCCUACGCCAUUCGUUUGCUCUCUACCGGGUCCUAGUGGCCGGCCGACAGUCGGCCAUGGCGACCGCCCGCUCCUAUCGUGGCCGAGGUGGUAGCAGUGAGGUAGAGCGUCCGCGAGUGGUACCAAUGGAGUCGCGGAGUUGAGGCGGAGCCGAUGCGCGCGCGCGCGGAGGCCGAGGGCCUCACUAUCGGUCGCCGGAGUUGCGGCCGAGCCGCCGUGCGUGAGAGAGAGAGAUCUGACGGGUGGGGCUACCCUGUCAGUGGCUGAGAGAGAGAGAGAGCGCGCGGGCGUGCGCGGCGCGGACGCGGGCCGGAAGCAGUGGGCCGGUCUGCGGCCCAGUUUCCAAGCAGCCCACUGCGCAGUAGUCUUUUUCUUUUUCUUUUUAUGCAGUUUUUGUUUUAUAUUUGAAUUUGUGUAGUAAAUUUUGUGCUAAUCCAAAAAUUGUGAAAAUUUUUGUAUAGCUUACAUAAAAUGGAUAGAGCCUAAGAAAAAUGUUAGGUUUGAUUUUCUGGUAAUUUUCAUGUAUACAUAAAUUGCCUUUGUUUAUUAAUGAAUAAACCUUCCAUGAUUUUUAAUAGUUCAUAGGUAUAUCCAAAAAUCAUGAAAUUUAAUAUGUGAGCUUGUGUUAAUGUUAUUUAGCUCCAUGAUUAAUUUCAGCUCUGUUUGAUCAAGUAUGCUCUGUUUCUUGAUAAAGCUAUUUAAAAUGCUUAUAAAAGAAAUAGAAAUAAUUAAUCCCUUUAGGAGUUGGGUGAUAUUUUGGAUUAUUUGACAACCAUGGUUACUUAGCAUGAUAUGCUCUCUGGUUAUGGUUUAUUUUCAUGUAAAUAAUCUUUAUGGUAUA